UGUCGUCAGCUCGUGUCGUGAGAUGUUGGGUUAAGUCCCGCAACGAGCGCAACCCUUAUUACUAGUUGCCAGCAUUUAGUUGGGCACUCUAGUGAGACUGCCGGUGACAAACCGGAGGAAGGUGGGGACGACGUCAAAUCAUCAUGCCCCUUAUGACCUGGGCUACACACGUGCUACAAUGGAUGGUACAACGAGUUGCGAGACCGCGAGGUUUAGCUAAUCUCUUAAAACCGAUCUCAGUUCGGAUUGCAGGCUGCAACUCGCCUGCAUGAAGCUGGAAUCGCUAGUAAUCGCGGAUCAGCAUGCCGCGGUGAAUACGUUCCCGGG
rnacentral:rRNA from 1 species